rnacentral:tRNA from 1 species
GGACUCAGUUGGUUAGAGCGCUGCAUUCACAUUGCAGAGGUCGCUGGUUCGAGCCCAGCCACGACCA